rnacentral:sRNA from 1 species
GCCCCAAGAUCUGGAUCAAAAGCUCAUGUCUACCAGCCUCGAGAUGUGGGUCACAGGUGUGCCCUCCAUUUCUGGAUUAUAGUUCAUUCCAGAUACAGUCAGGUUGACAACCAAGAAUAGCCAUCACAAUAGGUAUUUUACCCUCAUAUGUGUUUGUGCACCACUUGCAUGUCUAUGUCCUCAGAGGCCAGAAUUGGACAUCAGAUGUCCUGGAACUGGACAGUUACAGUGUAAGCCACCAUGUGGGUGAUGGGAACCAGACUCAGGAACAUUCAGGAAUCAAACACUGGCUGGAAGCACAGCCAGUGCUCCUAACUGCUGAAUCACCUCUCCUGCCCCGGAUUCACUUCUUUUAUUAUAUGUGUAUGUCUGUGUGUGGGUCCGUACAUAUGAGUACAAUGUCUGUGGCGUCCAUAGGAGGGAGUCCAUUCCCUGGAGUUGAAGGGACAGGCUACUGUGAGCUUCCUAAAAUGCAGACUGAGAACCAUGUAUUAAUUGCUGAUCCACCUAUCCAGACCAUAGUUUAGAUUUGUUUAGAUUAGGGCAAUUAUUUGAUUUCUAGUUACAAUUUAGCCAUUCUGUUCAAAAAUAUGUCUGGAAUUGUUCUAGGAGAAGGUGUCAUGGUUUGGACUAUGAAUUGUCUACCAAAACCCACGUGUUGAAGACUCGGUUCCCCAAACAGCUAGUGAUUCCCAUCACUAAAGGGUGGUCAGGAGGGUUCUGUGAUAAUCAGAUAGAUUCCUAACUCAUUGAUGAUUCAUAAUUUGGUGGGAGGACUUCAUUGGGGAUGUGUCUUUGGAAGGUAUAUCUUCUCUCUGACCCCUUCCAGUCUCCUUCUGCUCCCCAGCCUUCCCCAGAUCCAUACUGACUAGGCCAGUGGGCCACACACUGGGACCUCUGACACCAGGAGCCAAACAACACUCUUAAUCUUGUUUUUCUUUGAGAUGUUUUGUCAACAGUAGCAAAAAGUGACCGACAUACUAGGGAUGGCUAGCAACAAACAGCCGGAGUAUACCAUCAAGGGGCGCACAGACCAGCAAGCACACAGAAGACACAGUCAACAACCAUCCAAUGCUUAAUUACAUCCAGGCAUCUGUAAAGGGAAAGACGCAUAUGGUGGGGGUAUCCCACCUCCUGCUGCAUAAGUAAAAACUGAACCUUUGUUGUAUUGUAUCACUGAGAUGUCAUUGUUCCCUUGACACACAUGCCAAGACUGUGGGGCUGCAGUGUGACAGGAGGGACCAUGGAUUAGUUACUUUUCCAUCACCAUAAUCAGCAUUCCCCGAAGACACUGUUGGAGAGAGACAGCAUUUAUUUUGACUCAUGGUUUCAGAGGUUUUUCAGUCCAUCAUGGUGCUUCCUAUGAUGAUGUGACCAGUCCAUGACAACAGGAGCCUACAGGCAGAAGCUGUUGAUGAUGUAUCAGAAUGCAGAGAGCAAACCAGGAAGGAGGCAGAAAUCACAUGACCCACUCAAGGACCUGCUGCAAGUGAUCUACUUCCGGGUCAGGUAGGCACCUCCCAUCAAGUGGAAAGGUAUUCAAAACCUGAGCCGUAGGGGAGGGACAUUUCAGAUGUAAAUCCAAACACAGCAGGUUGGAGCAGAGCUAUCGAGAUAAACUUGUGGCCUGGGAGAGAAGUCUCUGUGCUGGCAGAAUAGAGGUGGAGUGGUAGACAUCUGGGAGGUAGAAGCACUCUGAGUGACUUGAGUUUCUGGCUUGUAUAGCUGGAUAUCCACCCACCACUCAUUCUUUGUUUUACUUAAUGACUCAGUGGGUGAUUGACACUCCAUCCACUACUGGCAGAUGCCCAUAAGCGAGUUGUCCCCAUUUCUUCUUCAACUUAGAAACUGAGAGAACUGAAUGGGUUCCCCGUGAACUCAAGCUCACAAUCUGCCCAGAAGUUUGUCCACUGGUAAGGGACCUCCUCUCUGGGAGAGAGGAGAGAAAAAGUAGGGAGUCAGGGAAAGAGAAAAUAACAAGAAGUCGUACACACGGACCUUGUGCCCAUCCAGCCUGAGCCACUUUAAUUUCUCACCUGGAUCAACAAAGAGGACCUCAGCUUCUGCCCUUUCUCAACUCGGCCAGAGCGAAUCUGCUAAUGCAGCAGUCAGUCAGGCACAGACUAUGUAUAAUUCAGGGUUUCUCAACCUAUGCACCUUCACCACGUGGGCCAGCAUCAUGGGUGAGGGGAAAGAAAUGCUGUCCUUGGAUGUUUAGCAGCAUCUCAAACCUGUGCCUGCUACAGCCACUGUCACACUCAAGGCCUCCUCAUCUGUGACAAGGAGAAUGGGCAGCAAACACGCCAAAUACUCUUUACUCCAGGCAGUCCUGAAAUGCCUUCUCCUCCUUGCAGAGGGACAAUUCAUGAGCACCCUCUCUUCUCUGAUUCCGCCCCUCCCCCACCUCACCCACUCAGCUUCCUUCCUGCGGGCUGACCCUCCGCCUAGCCCUCUAGCUCAUGAGCUGGGGUCUCAGUCUGAGCUGAGGGCCCUGCUGCUCUUGCUUAGGGAGGAUGCCCCGCCCUAAGAUUUCCAAAGAACUCCCUCCAUCAGUAACUUUGGCUUUUGGCUUAAACGUUACCUUCUCGGUGACGCCAACUCAAGGCGCCUCUUAGGAAAUUAAAAUCUCAGUGCGUUCAUUUGCUAGGAUGGAAUGAGUCAGCGCGGGUUGGGUGAGUUAAAGCAAGGAGUGGGUUUUUACACAGAUCUGGAAGCUAGAAGUACAAAGUCGAGGCGCCUGCAGACCUGGUUUCUCCUAAGGCUCUCAUCAGCCGAAGCCCUUGCUUGUCCUUGCUGGGUGUACAGGCAUCCCAGUUUGUCCGUCCCAAUUCCCUCUUCUGUCCAGGACACUCUUUAACCUAGUCACCCAGAGUUCCAGGGCUCUCUGAGAUCUUAGGGUGUUAAGCUUGCACUUGGGAACUUUAGGGGUGUUACCUUCGGCCCGGGACACUCCAAUGGAUCAGCAAUGAUCAAGCUGGCAUUCUGAAUAGUUUACCUUUUCAUCCAGAUUAUGGUGUCUUUCUCUUCCAGGUCUCCACCAGAAUAUCAUAUUCCAUAAAGCCAGGGAUUUUUGUCAAUCGUAUUCACUGCUACAUUCACAGUGCCUAUUAGCACAUGGCAAACACUUGUUAGAAGUGUUACAGACAGGAGCAAGAACUGCUUCUCCACAUACCAGCUGCACCCUUGGGAAAGAUCACUUCUCUAUUCCUCAGCUCCCUCUCUCAGGCUAAGACAACCCAGAGCAUGAACUCUGGUCUAUUAGCAUAGGGAUGCUAACUUCUAGGUUCUCAAGAAAACCCUGUGAGAGAAAAGUUUCCUUUCAACUGCUUCUAAGGGAGGCACAAUUCCAGAACAUCAAGGUGAGGGAGCAGGAAGUGAGGUAAAGGUAGCUGAGAAGUGAGAAGGGGUUGUGGGGAGGUAGUGUCCAGACAACUGGCCCCCACUCCCUUUCAAAGCCAGGUCACACAGAACUUCUCCAGACAGGCCUCACAGAAAGCACUGGCCUGAGAACAGCCUAAGGCAAGAGGGCUCCCUCCAGCCUUGUGCCUCCCAUUAGCUAGAAGUAGCCGCAGGAGAGUUAAUGCCCUUGCAGCAUAAAGGUCUCAGCUGGUUCUUUAAACAGCCUGGAAGGGAGCCAGACCCUUGGCCCUCUGGAGGAAGGCUUCGUCCCAGUCUGGAAGCAGUAGAGCCUGCAGAGGUUGGCCCUAGGCUGCCAUGAGCGAAGGAAGAAGGGUUGAAAAGAGCCAGUUCUUGUUGCCUGUGGACUGGAAAGACCCCAGCCAGGUUGCCACCUUGGACCAUGCUUCCCCUUCAGGGCAGACCUCUCCCUCCAGUCUCCGCCCAGUGUCUCCUGGGAAGCCGUACUAGCAGAUCGCACCACUUGAGCGUUGGGAAGGCUGUCUGCGGAACUGUGCCGGGGAGGUCAAAUGAAAAUGGAGUUUGAGUCAAGCAACAGAAAACACAGGGGAUGGAUGGACUUAGAAGCCAAGGCUGACUUUAAACUCUCCCAUGCUACUACAGGAGACUGGCUACGAACCCAGCACAAUAUCAAAAAGCAAGCAUGCACAGAUAAGACUCUCAUAAAAUGAGCUCAGGCCUAUGAAGCAGUUUCAGGAAUACAACAGCCUCUCCGACUUUGCCUUGCCACUUGACUACUGUGUGUUCUGUGGAGAAACCACUCCGUGCUGAACGGAGCAGCCUUCUACCUCCAGCAGUGACUCUUGUCCUUCUCACACACAGCCCGGAUGAAAACACAACCUGCUUCACACAGCUUGUUUGUUGCUAAGUAACCACUUCUUCCUGGUAUGAGUGUGUGACCACCCUUUCUUACUGCAACUUAAUUGCGUGACCUUAACACUGGAGAAUGGAAUUGGAAUGGGGCAGGCGUGGGGGUGGGGCUUCAUUUCUCAUCACCUACACUGUCUGUUAUUGUCCAUGACCCUGAAGAACAUUUCCUGGGAAAAGGUGAAAAAAGGGAGGGGCAGAGGAAGAACUGAGAACACGAGGGAGGUAGGAGGAAGUCUAAUCUCCACCCAGCCACCCCAGAGACCUCCUGGUGACUGCAUGAGCCAGAGAGCAGACAACAACCUUCUGUCCCCUUUCUCCUUCAAACACUGCUAACCCACGGGUCAAGCAUGAGCAUAGGCUUUGAAGCCAGGAAUAGUCACCUCAACCCUUGCCACAGUCCCAAGGGACACAGAGGCCACCAGCAAUACGGCAGCAAUCUCCUCUUUCAAGAGCAAGAGAGAGAUAAGUAAGAGUUUCCUCUUAGGAGCUCUGUCUCACAUUCACUAUGUCCCUGAAGCUGGGGUCUAUGAGGCUAUUGGUGACUGAUGUUUCCCAGAAUUCCAUAGUCAUGCAGGAACCUGUCACUUCUCUCAGGAAAUCGAAUGGUCUGCCCCUAGAUCACUAUAAGUUAUCCACUACCACCAGCUUUAUAGAGGCAUGAUCAAGAAAUAAAGGUGUGUGUGGGCUGGGGGCAUGGCUCAGCUCAGAGAGAGCUCUUGCAUCUCGUGUGUGAGGAUCUACAUGCUUGUAAUCGCAGCACCAGCAAGAUGGGAGACAGCGACAAGGAAGAUCCUGGAAGUUCCCUACUCGGUGACGUUCCAGACCAAUGAAAGACUGUGUCUCAAACAAAAGAGCUAACACCUAAGGUCAUGCCCCUGACCUCCACGCAUGUGUCAUGCAUGUGCACACUGAACGCACAUUUACCCCUCCCACACCCACACAUGCACCCUCAUCUGCAUAUUCCCACAAGACCGCAUGCAGUUAAGGUGUACAUGUUUUGCUCAGCAUUCUCUACACUCAGUCUGUUUAACACAUCUGUGACCUAGCUAUGUGUGUGUGUGAGAUAAUACCUCACACCUACUCCCUUAACACAUAACAAUGAUGUAACCCUGCAUUAGUAAUAAGUGUGGUCACUUUGCUGUACACUGGUUCUCCAGAAGCCAGUCAUCUCAGAACUGCAAGUCCUCCUGUGUUACCCUUGGAUGAACGUCUCCCCCACUUACCUUACCUCUGAUCCUUAAUAAUUAUCCUUCUGCUCUAUCCUGAGGCUCUGACGUUUUCAGAUUCCACUUCUACAAGGAGAUCGUAUGCCCCGUGCAUUACUCAGUCUUCCCAUUGCUGUGACAGAGGUAAUUUAAGGAGGGGGAGGGGCAUUCUGCUUUAAGAAGAUGUGUAGGGAGGGCUGGAGAGAUGGCUCAGUGGUUAAGAG